rnacentral:rRNA from 1 species
UACGUAGGGGGCAAGCGUUUGUCCGGAUUUAUUGGGCGUAAAGAGCGUGUAGGCGGCUAUACAGGUCCGCUGUGAAAACUCGAGGCUCAACCUCGAGACGUCGGUGGAAACCGUAUGGCUAGAGUCCGGAAGAGGAGAGUGGGAAUUCCUGGUGUAGCGGUGAAAUGCGCAGAUAUCAGGAAGAACACCCGUGGCGAAGGCGGCUCUCUGGGACGGUACUGACGCUGAGACGCGAAAAGCGUGGGGGAGCGAACAGG